CGUCGUUAGAAACGUCCUCGCGCCUUGCUCUAGCUCUAAAUAAAUAUAUAAAUAAAUAAAUAGAACCACCAACAGUGAAGGUGAAAGAUACAUGCUGCGAAGAUCUGCUUUUAUUUUUCAGUAUCUUUGUAGCAAUCAGUUUAGGUUGUGUAAAUAUGAAUUACAGCAGAAAAACGCUGAUUUCAGACUGGCACAAAAACAGGGAAGCAGAGCCAAGAGACUAUGAUAUCUCUGCAUGUCGUGAUGGACAAAGAAAAUUACACAAGUCAACAUACAAACAUUUUGGCACACACUUGGAUGCAGACUGCAGAACAACAACCCAAAUGGCUCAGUCAAAGAAAGAGCAUGAGGCCAAGGACACAGCAAAAUCAAUGGUGCAGGCUGACCAUUUCCACUCACUGGUGUUUGAUAGAGAAACAGGAACAUCAGACACAGCUGGCAAAUCCAUCCUAUCCCGCUAUCAACCAAGCUGUACUGAAAAUGAGUUAAUUACUACGUAUGCAUUGGAUUACGUUCCACCUCGUUUUACCACCAAGCAGGCAAGAGAGUGAGAGAAAGAGAGAAAAAGAGAGGCUGGACAGGGAACAACUGUUUAUACAACUGUUUAUACAGCUGCAUUGGUAUACUAAGGCUCAUAUUUCUGACUUGAAACCCAUAGAAAACCUGUGGGGUGACCUGAAGAGGAGAGUCCAGCGUGGACCUCAAAAUUGGAUCUAGAGAGAUUCUUUAUGGAGGAAUGGUCUCUUGUCAUGUAUUCUCCAACCUCAUCAGGUAUUAUAGGAGAAGACUCAGAGCUGUUAUCUUGGAAAAGGGAGGUAGCACAAAGUAUUGACUAAAAAAGUGCCAAUAAUUGUUUCACACCUAUAUUUAACAAAGAUGUUUGUUUUUUGAUAAACCUGUGAUGUGUGUCCAAUUGUUUGAUAUCCAUGAGAGCAGAGUAUUUUUUGUGAAUUUUUUAAACAAAAGAUUAAAAGGUUAAACAAUAAAGACAAUUAUUCACAGCCUUCUUUGCUCAUAUUUACCAAGGAUGCCAAUAUUAGUGGAGGGCACUGUAGCGCUAUGAAUUUAAAAGAAAAAACACAUAUGAACAAAUGAAAAAAACACCAGAACAUACCCAGCUUAAAGGUGUACACUACCAUGUGACCACGAUGUGUGAAUCCAAUGGAGAAUAAUAUACUCCAAUAAUAAUUUACUCCAAACGCACUCAUAAUGGAAGCCUAAGGGAAGUUACUGAAUUUGGUUAAUAAACAUGUUAAAUACUUCAAUAUAUAAUGCAAAAUUAAACCUGCAACCUUUACACUAUAACAAUGAAGGUCUUCGGAUAAGACCGAGAUGAGAGCAAGUCUUAGCAAAACUAUCCUCAUGUAGUUUUAUGCAACACUGCAGCUAUGCAGUAAAAUGUCAUUCCAUUUAGAGCUUAUGCUUUUUCUGAAGUCUAAUCAUGUAUUCAUACAUGAUCAAGCAGAAAUUGAAGCACUGCUGAGAUAUUUUGAGCCGCAAUUACUGUAGCUUAAUUUAUUAACUGAAGAAUUCAUUGAAAAAGGCAUAAACAUGAUGACUCAAUGACUGGCCUUAGACCACUGUAUAUGUAGGUAGGUAGGUAGGUAGAUAGAUAUAAUUCAUUGGUGUUUCACUUUUCUCAGUCCUGAUUCAUGACUUUUUCAUA